GGGCCUGUAGCUCAGUUGGUUAGAGCAGUGGACUCAUAAUCCAUUGGUCGUAGGUUCGAGUCCUACCCGGCCCACCA
rnacentral:tRNA from 1 species